rnacentral:rRNA from 1 species
AGCGAACGCUGGCGGCAGGCUUAACACAUGCAAGUCGAACGCUCCGCAAGGUGAGUGGCAGACGGGUGAGUAACGCGUGGGAAUCUACCCAUCUCUACGGAAUAACUCAGGGAAACUUGUGCUAAUACCGUAUACGCCCUUCGGGGGAAAGAUUUAUCGGAGAUGGAUGAGCCCGCGUUGGAUUAGUUAGUUGGUGGGUA